GACGAACGCUGGCGGCGUGCCUAAUACAUGCAAGUCGAGCGAAUCGAUGGGAGCUUGCUCCCUGAGAUUAGCGGCGGACGGGUGAGUAACACGUGGGUAACCUGCCUGUAAGACUGGGAUAACUUCGGGAAACCGGAGCUAAUACCGGAUACUUUCUUUUCUCGCAUGAGGGAAGAUGGAAAGAUGGUUCUGCUAUCACUUACAGAUGGACCCGCGGCGCAUUAGCUAGUUGGUGAGGUAACGGCUCACCAAGGCAACGAUGCGUAGCCGACCUGCGAGGGUGAUCGGCCACACUGGGACUGAGACACGGCCCAGACUCCUACGGGAGGCAGCAGUAGGGAAUCUUCCGCAAUGGACGAAAGUCUGACGGAGCAACGCCGCGUGAGCGAAGAAGGCCUUCGGGUCGUAAAGCUCUGUGGUUAGGGAAGAACAAGUACGAGAGUAACUGCUCGUACCUUGACGGUACCUAACCAGAAAGCCACGGCUAACUACGUGCCAGCCGCCGCCGUAAUAC
rnacentral:rRNA from 1 species